AGGCGUAUGUUCUAGUGGUUAUGAUUCCUGUCUCACACACAGGAGGUCCCCGGUUCGACCCCGGGUACGCCUA